rnacentral:SRP_RNA from 1 species
GGGUCCCCCCGCAAUGAUAACUUGUGAACUCGGCCAGGCCCGGAAGGGAGCAACCGCAGCAAGCGACUCGUGUGCCGGGGUG